AAACAAAAGAAAAAAAAAAUUAAAGUCAUCUUCUUCAAAAAGAAAAACGUGACUCUCUCUUCCCUCUUCCAUAAACCACCAUUGUUACACUAGAGAAGCUUGAAUCCAAGCUUUCUUUCAACCAUUUAAGCCUAUUUUGACCCCAACUUGACUUAUUAGAACCUGAUUUAGUUACUUGAGAAGAAGUUUGAUCACAAAAGAAAGAAGAAAAGUAUAGGAAAAUUAAAGAAUUAGAUAGACAAAUUCUGCUCACUUAAGGUAAACUAAUCCAACUUUUCUUUUUAGUUUAUAUGAUGGAUUUAGGGUAGAAAUGAAUGAGAUUAUAUGAAGAAAUUGAAAAAUAUUGCAUGAUUAGGAAGAGAGGGAAUUUUCAGCCAGCCAUGGAUGUAUGAGUGUGGAUGUAUUUUAAAUGAAUUAAAGGUGUUAAUAAACUUGCAUGAAUAUGGUAGUAAGAUGAAAAGGCAUAAAUGUAAGUAAUUGUAACAAUUAAGUGAGAUUAG
rnacentral:misc_RNA from 1 species